GCAUAACGCGAAGAACCUUACCUGGCCUUGACAUCCAUGGAAUCCCGAAGAGAUUCGGGAGUGCCGCAAGGAACCAUGAGACAGGUGCUGCAUGGCUGUCGUCAGCUCGUGUCGUGAGAUGUUGGGUUAAGUCCCGCAACGAGCGCAACCCUUGUCCUUAGUUGCCAUCAUUAAGUUGGGAACUCUAAGGAGACCGCCGGUGACAAACCGGAGGAAGGUGGGGAUGACGUCAAGUCAUCAUGGCCUUUAUGGCCAGGGCUACACACGUGCUACAAUGGCAGGUACAGAGGGAAGCCAACCGGCGACGGGGAGCUAAUCCCAGAAAGCCUGUCUUAGUCCGGAUUGCAGUCUGCAACUCGACUGCAUGAAGUUGGAAUCGCUAGUAAUCGCAGAUCAGCAUUGCUGCGGUGAAUACGUUCCCGGGUCUUGUACACACCG
rnacentral:rRNA from 1 species